AUAGGAAUUCUGUUGUAAGGGAAGAACAUUCAGGAUAGGAAAUGAUACUGAUCUGACGGUACCUUACCAGAAAGCCACGGCUAACUACGUGCCAGCAGCCGCGGUAAUACGUACGUGGCAAGCGUUAUCCGGAAAUAUUGGGCGUAAAGGGUGCGUAAGCGGUUUAUUAAUUCUAUGGUGAAAGUUCGAGGCUUAACCAUGGAUGGACAUAGAAACUGAUCGACUUGAGUGCAGGAGAGGGCAAUGGAAUUCCAUGUGUAGCGGUAAAAUG
rnacentral:rRNA from 1 species